rnacentral:rRNA from 1 species
GAUGAACGCUGGUGGCGUGCCUAAUACAUGCAAGUCGAGCGAACAGACGAGGAGCUUGCUCCUCUGACGUUAGCGGCGGACGGGUGAGUAACACGUGGAUAACCUACCUAUAAGACUGGGAUAACUUCGGGAAACCGGAGCUAAUACCGGAUAAUAUAUUGAACCGCAUGGUUCAAUAGUGAAAGACGGUUUUGCUGUCACUUAUAGAUGGAUCCGCGCCGCAUUAGCUAGUUGGUAAGGUAACGGCUUACCAAGGCAACGAUGCGUAGCCGACCUGAGAGGGUGAUCGGCCACACUGGGACUGAGACACGGUCCAGACUCCUACGGGAGGCAGCAGUAGGGAAUCUUCCGCAAUGGGCGAAAGCCUGACGGAGCAACGCCGCGUGAGUGAUGAAGGUCUUCGGAUCGUAAAACUCUGUUAUUAGGGAAGAACAAAUGUGUAAGUAACUAUGCACGUCUUGACGGUACCUAAUCAGAAAGCCACGGCUAACUACGUG